rnacentral:rRNA from 1 species
AGCUCCAAUAGCGUAUAUUAAAGUUGCUGCAGUUAAAAAGCUCGUAGUUGCAUUUCCGAGGCAAGGGAUUAGUCCGACCUUUGGUGGGUAUUUAAUCCUCUUGCCUCGUCCUUGAGUGGUGCUUCUUGGUAUUAAGUUAUCGAGGAGAUAGCCGCUCAUCGUUUACUGUGAGAAAAUUAGAGUGUUCAAAGCAGGCUUAUGCCGUUGAAUAUAUUAGCAUGGAAUAAUAAGAUAGGACCGCGGUACUAUGUUGUUGGUUUGAGAACCAAGGUAAUGAUGAAUAGGGACAGUUGGGGGUAUUCGUAUUCAGUUGUCAGAGGUGAAAUUCUUAGAUUUACGGAAGACGAACUACUGCGAAAGCAUUUACCAAGGAUGUUUUCA